rnacentral:tRNA from 5 species
GCCCUUGUCGUUCAACGGAUAGGACGCAAGCUUGCGGAGCUUGUGAUUGAGGUUCGAUUCCUCACAAGGGCGCAA